GUGGCCCCUGCUCCGCCAAUGUGAACCACGCCGUCACCAUCGUCGGCUACUGCGAGGGUCCCGGCGAGGGAAACAAGUACUGGAUUGCCAAGAACUCGUGGAGCAACGACUGGGGUGAACAAGGAUAUGUCUACCUCGCAAAGGACGUGCCCUCGUCCACGGGCACAUGUGGCCUCGCCACCUCGCCCUUCUACCCCACGGCUUGACCACAGGCAGCACUAUGUGUGAUAUCUAAGGAAUUGCUUCCGUUUCGUUGUGAUAAUGCUAAAUUAUUAUUUUGAUUAUACUUCCCUUUAAUUUGAUCAAUAAUAGGUAGACCAUGCGUGCAAUAUAUCAUGGCCUGAGUAAUAAAGUUUCGAGUGAAUUACACUUUUUACAAGUUAAUUGUGCAAUUUUUUGUGACACGUAUUUACCGAUUUAGCAGAUGUUGCAUCGAAAUGUCCC
rnacentral:lncRNA from 1 species